UUUCAUGAUGAUUCAAUAUCACGACGGUCAACAUAAACCACAAGUUGGACUAAUUUGAUGAGAAUGCCUUUGACAAGGCGCUAUAAUCUGAUC
rfam:Botryotinia fuckeliana BcDW1 unplaced genomic scaffold Scaffold_357, whole genome shotgun sequence.